UGAUGGCAGGCCCAGCAGGAAGGACUGACCGGUGUCUCCAAGGAGAGACCCUCCACCCCAGCGACUAGGCCAGUGAGAAACCGCCCUCACCCCGAACUCCUUCCUGCCAAUCUCCAGGUCUGAGGGAGGAGAGGGGAGUUCACUGUCCUCAUCCAGCACGGUGACAUCUAAAGUGGAAGUGAACAAAAGAGCAAAGAAGACAAUGACGGAUGUCUCUCUCGGCCUUGGAAAGGGAGGAAAUGCUGACACGCUCCACACCAUGGGUGAAUCUGGAGGACGUUAUGCUACGUGAGGACGAGCCCUGUAUGAUUCCAACUGGAGUCAUCAAAGUCACAGAAAGCUGACGGGUGGGCAUCAGGGGCUGGGGGAGGAGAA